AGAUAUGUUAGCUUUAGCUUUCAAAUGAGCAGGUCUGAUCUUUAGCAGCAGACUUUGUACUCGUGUUUCAACACAAAUUUGAAGACUUUUUUUAUUUCUUAUGGGAAUAGUAUUGACUGUUAACUCUGUUUCCUUGCAGUGAUGGUUCCUGUUUGGUAAGAUGACUGGUUUUUUCUGGUUAUAGAUACACGUCCUAAGACUUUUUCUGAUAUUUGCACUUGAGAAGCUCUGCCAGGACAAAAUGAUAAUAAAAGUGAAGCAGUUUGCAUGUCCAGCCUUAGUUCUCUGCACUCUUGGUGCCCUCCUGCCAUUCAUGCUCCUGCUGAGGUCGGUGUCCCUGUGUCUCCAAAUCUCCGUGUUUUCAUCUUGGCUUCUGGCUUUGACAAGCAGAUACUAUGGGAGAUUGCUGUGUUCAUCCCAACAAAUGCAGUGUGGUAGCUCCCACCAUGGGCAGCUGGAAGCCAGGUCUGAGCACACUGUGCACUCCAAAAUUUGGUAUGGAUUGGUGAUGGUGGUUAUACAUUCUGUGAAGUGAAGUGAGUCUUCCUGAGCUUUGCUGAUCGUCUCUGCAAGUGGCAACUGGGCCUUUUUUCUUCUACUCGUGAACCUUUAGAAGUGUUGCUCCUCACUGAUUGAUGGAUGAGGCUCUGAAACUGCUAUAAUUAAGAUAGUGUUCACACUGCCAUAAUUACAAGAUACAGCAAUUUUAUUAGCCAGGAUUAUUUAUUAGUCACAGCAAUCAAAGCUGCAUUUUGAUUAGUCACAGGAGGACCUGCCAGAACAUGGAUGUUAACAUUAUGUAUCCAAUGUGUUCAUUUGCAAGCUUGUCGUAUUUUGUCAUGGUGGCAAUAAAUGGUGUUAAACUGCUUUUUUCA
rnacentral:lncRNA from 1 species